UACGUAGGGUGCAAGCGUUACUCGGAAUUACUGGGCGUAAAGCGUGCGCAGGCGGUGAUGUAAGUCAGAUGUGAAAUCCCCGGGCUCAACCUGGGAACUGCAUUUGUGACUGCAUCGCUGGAGUACGGCAGAGGGGGAUGGAAUUCCGCGUGUAGCAGUGAAAUGCGUAGAUAUGCGGAGGAACACCGAUGGCGAAGGCAAUCCCCUGGGCCUGUACUGACGCUCAUGCACGAAAGCGUGGGGAGCAAACAGG
rnacentral:rRNA from 1 species